rnacentral:tRNA from 1 species
GCCUGGGUGGCUCAGUCAGUUAAGCGUCUGACUUUGGAUCAGGUCAUGAUCUCACAGUUUGUGAGUUCGAGUCCCACGUCGGGCU